rnacentral:rRNA from 1 species
AAGCGCGCGCAGGUGGUUCCUUAAGUCUGAUGUGAAAGCCCACGGCUCAACCGUGGAGGGUCAUUGGAAACUGGGGAACUUGAGUGCAGAAGAGGAAAGUGGAAUUCCAAGUGUAGCGGUGAAAUGCGUAGAGAUUUGGAGGAACACCAGUGGCGAAGGCGACUUUCUGGUCUGUAACUGACACUGAGGCGCGAAAGCGUGGGGAGCGAACAGGAUUAGAUACCCUGGUAGUCCACGCCGUAAACGAUGAGUGCUAAGUGUUAGAGGGUUUCCGCCCUUUAGUGCUGCAGCAAACGCAUUAAGCACUCCGCCUGGGGAGUACGACCGCAAGGUUGAAACUCAAAGGAAUUGACGGGGGCCCGCACAAGCGGUGGAGCAUGUGGUUUAAUUCGAAGCAACGCGAAGAACCUUACCAGGUCUUGACAUCCUCUGACAAUCCUAGAGAUAGGACGUUCCCCUUCGGGGGACAGAGUGACAGGUGGUGCAUGGUUGUCGUCAGCUCGUGUCGUGAGAUGUUGGGUUAAGUCCCGCAACGAGCGCAACCCUUGAUCUUAGUUGCCAGCAUUCAGUUGGGCACUCUAAGGUGACUGCCGGUGACAAACCGGAGGAAGGUGGGGAUGACGUCAAAUCAUCAUGCCCCUUAUGACCUGGGCUACACACGUGCUACAAUGGAUGGUACAAAGGGCUGCAAGACCGCGAGGUUUAGCCAAUCCCAUAAAACCAUUCUCAGUUCGGAUUGCAGGCUGCAACUCGCCUGCAUGAAGCCGGAAUCGCUAGUAAUCGCGGAUCAGCUGCCGCGA